GCUCGUGUAGCUCAGUGGAAGAGCACCCGUUUAGUAAGCGGGAGGUCUCGAGAUCGAAACUCGACAUGAGCA
rnacentral:tRNA from 1 species